CUCCAAUUUUACAGGUUCUGCUUUGGAGCGCUCGGGCUGAGUUCCGCAGAGCCCCCGCCCCUCAUCAGAAAGCACCUGGCAUUUCACACUAACUCUUGGCUUUGAGUUUUCUUGCCUCGAAAAACAGGAGGAGGGAGAAAGCGCUUUGUUCGAAAGGAAACGCAAAGCUGUAACCCCUUAAAACUCUGAAUCGUGAGAUGACGCCGGCCCAACGCGGUUAGGAGCUGAUUUCCAGGACUGCGUUAAUGCCUCUGUUUUCUUUAAAGGUUCUCUGGCUAAGCUAUUAAUUGCCGGGGUUUCAUGAAAGAUUUGCAGACUUUACAAUCAUUUAUGAUCCGUGCCAUAAAACCCGAAAGAUACGAGCAGGCUGGUUCAAGGUGUAAUGCAGAGAUGUAUGAGGUGCCCUUGGCAACUAUCUGUGGGUGCUGUUUGUAUUCCCCGAACACGCCCUUCGCUGCAAUGAACAUUGCUGCGAACGGCGGGUUGGGCUGCUGACUGCCAGAGCUCCGAAGGCUCACACAAAAGAGCUACAGAUUUCAGGCAGGGGAAUCCAACGACUGGAAACUCAUUCUGCUCCCCCGACGAGUUCAAAUGCAAGGAAAAUCUCUGAAUACUUCCCUAUUUCAGAAUGGUACAGUGUACUACAAAAUACAGAGACAUAUGCAGUGGCAAUAAGGGACUCAGAUAUGAAGCUGAGGAGUUGUGUACAAACGGACAUAUCAAUGGGAACUGUAAAUAGCUGCCUACAAACAGUACAAAUGCUGCUGCAGCUGAUACGAAUAUUGAGAAAAUCCUUGGUACAACAGUCAAAACAGAGCUUGAGUUUUCUGCUGCUUUUGGUGACGGCAGUGUAACCUCUUCCAUCAAAUGGCAUCGUACACACAAGAAGUGUCCCAGCACAUGCCCCACCGUGUGGAUUCUCUGCUUGGCAGAUUUUGGGCUGCCAAUGGGCCUUGAGUCCUGUCAGAGGAAAAGAGCAAAAUCUCCCUCUCAAGUACGAAGCUGGGAUACCAGACAAGCAACCUUUCCUCAGAUAUUGUGUGUCUCCUGCACUGGUAUAAAGAAUAUUUUUCAGGGCAAGCCUUAAAAGAUUCAGUUAUAUCAUACAUUAAUACUGAAAUAGGGAAAAGAAUUAAUGUUUUUUAAUAUGAACAUAAGCACAGAGAAAUUGAGGAGCAGGUUGAAAAAAGGUAUCUCAGUGCUGGAAA
rnacentral:lncRNA from 1 species